AGGACGAACGCUGGCGGCAGGCUUAACACAUGCAAGUCGAGCGCCCCGCAAGGGGAGCGGCAGACGGGUGAGUAACGCGUGGGAACAUACCCUCCGGUUCGGAAUAAUUCAGGGAAACUUGGACUAAUACCGGAUACGGCCUAGCGGCGAAAGAUUCAUCGCCGGAGGAUUGGCCCGCGUUCGAUUAGCUAGUUGGCGGGGUAACGGCCCACCAAGGCGACGAUCGAUAGCUGGUCUGAGAGGAUGAUCAGCCACAUUGGGACUGAGACACGGCCCAAACUCCUACGGGAGGCAGCAGUGGGGAAUAUUGGACAAUGGGCGCAAGCCUGAUCCAGCCAUGCCGCGUGAGUGAUGAAGGCCCUAGGGUUGUAAAGCUCUUCUGUGCGGGAAGAUAAUGACGGUACCGCAAGAAUAAGCCCCGGCUAACUUCGUGCCAGCAGCCGC
rnacentral:rRNA from 1 species